rnacentral:rRNA from 14 species
GCGGGUAGUUUGACUGGGGCGGUCGCCUCCUAAAGAGUAACGGAGGCGCGCGAUGGUAGGCUCAGACCGGUCGGAAAUCGGUCGUCGAGUGCAAUGGCAUAAGCCUGCUAGACUGCGAGACUGACAAGUCGAGCAGAGACGAAAGUCGGCCAUAGUGAUCCGGUGGUUCUUCGUGUGAGGGCCAUCGCUCAACGGAUAAAAGGUACGCCGGGGAUAACAGGCUGAUGAUGCCCAAGAGUCCAUAUCGACGGCAUUGUUUGGCACCUCGAUGUCGGCUCAUCGCAUCCUGGGGCUGGAGCAGGUCCCAAGGGUUUGGCUGUUCGCCAAUUAAAGCGGUACGUGAGCUGGGUUUAGAACGUCGUGAGACAGUUCGGUCCCUAUCUGCCGUGGGCGUUUGAGAUUUGAUAGGAGCUGUCCUUAGUACGAGAGGACCGGGAUGGACAUACCUCUGGUGGACCUGUUGUUGCGCCAGCAGC